GUGGGGAAUUUUGGACAAUGGGCGCAAGCCUGAUCCAGCAAUGCCGCGUGCAGGAAGAAGGCCUUCGGGUUGUAAACUGCUUUUGUACGGAACGAAAAGGCUCUGGCUAAUACCUGGAGCUCAUGACGGUACCGUAAGAAUAAGCACCGGCUAACUACGUGCCAGCAGCCGCGGUAAUACGUAGGGUGCGAGCGUUAAUCGGAAUUACUGGGCGUAAAGCGUGCGCAGGCGGUGCUGUAAGACAGGCGUGAAAUCCCCGGGCUCAACCUGGGAAUUGCGCUUGUGACUGCAGCGCUGGAGUGCGGCAGAGGGGGAUGGAAUUCCGCGUGUAGCAGUGAAAUGCGUAGAUAUGCGGAGGAACACCGAUGGCGAAGGCAAUCCCCUGGGCCUGCACUGACGCUCAUGCACGAAAGCGUGGGGAGCAAACAGGAUUAGAUACCCGUGUAGUCC
rnacentral:rRNA from 1 species